UACGUAGGGGCCUAGCGUUGUCCGGAAUUAUUGGGCGUAAAGGGCUCGUAGGCGGUUUGUCGCGUCGGGAGUGAAAAUUCAGGGCUUAACCCUGAGCCUGCUUCCGAUACGGGCAGACUAGAGGUAUGCAGGGGAGAACGGAAUUCCUGGUGUAGCGGUGAAAUGCGCAGAUAUCAGGAGGAACACCGGUGGCGAAGGCGGUUCUCUGGGCAUUACCUGACGCUGAGGAGCGAAAGCAUGGGGAGCGAACAGG
rnacentral:rRNA from 1 species